UUUAUGGAGAGUUUGAUCCUGGCUCAGGAUGAACGCUGGCGGCGUGCCUAAUACAUGCAAGUCGAGCGAACGGACGAGAAGCUUGCUUCUCUGAUGUUAGCGGCGGACGGGUGAGUAACACGUGGAUAACCUACCUAUAAGACUGGGAUAACUUCGGGAAACCGGAGCUAAUACCGGAUAAUAUUUUGAACCGCAUGGU
rnacentral:rRNA from 1 species